UACGUAGGGUGCAAGCGUUGUCCGGAAUUAUUGGGCCUAAAGCAUCCGUAGCCGGUUCUGCAAGUCCCCCGUUAAAUCCAGCUGCUCAACAGAUGGGCCGCGGAGGAUACUACAGAGCUAGGAGGCAGGAGAGGCAAGCGGUACUCAGUGGGUAGGGGUAAAAUCCGUUGAUCCAUUGAAGACCACCAGUGGCGAAGGCGGCUUGCCAGAAUGCGCUCGACGGUGAGGGAUGAAAGCUGGGGGAGCAAACAGG
rnacentral:rRNA from 1 species